rnacentral:rRNA from 1 species
AGUGAACGCUGGCGGUAGGCCUAACACAUGCAAGUCGAACGGCAGCACAGUAAGAGCUUGCUCUUACGGGUGGCGAGUGGCGGACGGGUGAGGAAUGCAUCGGAAUCUACUUUUUCGUGGGGGAUAACGUAGGGAAACUUACGCUAAUACCGCAUACGACCUACGGGUGAAAGCAUGGGAUCUUCUGACCUUGUGCGAUUGAAUGAGCCGAUGUCGGAUUAGCUAGUUGGCGGGGUAAAGGCCCACCAAGGCGACGAUCCGUAGCUGGUCUGAGAGGAUGAUCACCCACACUGGAAGUGAGACACGGUCCAGACUCCUACGGGAGGCAGCAGUGGGGAAUAUUGGACAAAGGGCGCAAGCCUGAUCCAGCCAUACCGCGUGGGUGAAGAAGGCCUUCGGGUUGUAAAGCCCUUUUGUUGGGAAAGAAAAGCAGCAGGUUAAUACCCCGCUGUUCUGACGGUACCCAAAGAAUAAGCACCGGCUAACUUCGUG